rnacentral:rRNA from 1 species
AGUGAACGCUGGCGGUAGGCCUAACACAUGCAAGUCGAACGGCAGCACAGUAAGAGCUUGCUCUUACGGGUGGCGAGUGGCGGACGGGUGAGGAAUACAUCGGAAUCUACUUUUUCGUGGGGGAUAACGUAGGGAAACUUACGCUAAUACCGCAUACGACCUACGGGUGAAAGCAGGGGAUCUUCGGACCUUGCGCGAUUGAAUGAGCCGAUGUCGGAUUAGCUAGUUGGCGGGGUAAAGGCCCACCAAGGCGGCGAUCCGUAGCUGGUCUGAGAGGAUGAUCAGCCACACUGGAACUGAGACACGGUCCAGACUACUACGGGAGGCAGCAGUGGGGAAUAUUGGACAAUGGGCGCAAGCCUGAUCCAGCCAUACCGCGUGGGUGAAGAAGGCCUUCGGGUUGUAAAGCCCUUUUGUUGGGAAAGAAAAGCAGCAGGUUAAUACCCCGCUGUUCUGACGGUACCCAAAGAAUAAGCACCGGCUAACUUCGUG